rnacentral:rRNA from 1 species
CACGUAGGGUGCGAGCGUUGUCCGGAAUUAUUGGGCGUAAAGAGCUCGUAGGCGGUGUGUCGCGUCGGCCGUGAAAACCUGCAGCUUAACUGUGGGCUUGCGGUCGAUACGGGCAUCACUGGAGUUCGGCAGGGGAGACUGGAAUUCCUGGUGUAGCGGUGAAAUGCGCAGAUAUCAGGAAGAACACCCGUGGCGAAGGCGGCUUUCUGGGACGGUACUGACGCUGAGACGCGAAAGCGUGGGGAGCGAACAGG